CGGGCGUCUUAACAUGCAAGUCGAACGUGAUUUUUGUGGAAAGCCCUUCGGGGACGGAAAUGAAAUGAAAGUGGCGAACGGGUGAGUAACACGUGAGCAACCUACCUUACACAGGGGGAUAGCCGUUGAAAACGACGAUUAAUACCGCAUGAGACCACAAAACCACAUGGCUUAGGGGUAAAAGAUUUAUCGGUGUAAGAUGGGCUCGCGUCUGAUUAGCUAGUUGGAAGGGUAAAGGCCUACCAAGGCAACGAUCAGUAGCCGGUCUGAGAGGAUGAACGGCCACAUUGGAACUGAGACACGGUCCAAACUCCUAGGGAGGCAGCAGUGGGGAAUAUUGCACAAUGGGGGGAACCCUGAUGCAGCGACGCCGCGUGAGCGAAGAAGGUUUUCGAAUCGUAAAGCU
rnacentral:rRNA from 1 species